GAAUGUCAAAUUUCUAGUAUGAGAAAUUAACGAUUUAAGUCCUUCUUAAAUGAGGCCAUUUACCCAUAGAGGGUGCCAGGCCCGUAUAACGUUAAUGAUUACUAGAUGGCAUUUCCAAAGAGUCGUGUUGCUUGAUAGUGCAGCACUAAGUGGGUGGUAAACUCCAUCUAAAACUAAAUAUAACCAUGAGACCGAUAGUAAACAAGUACCGUGAGGGAAAGUUGAAAAGAACUCUGAAUAGAGAGUUAAAUAGUACGUGAAACUGCUUAGAGGUUAAGCCCGAUGAACCUGAAUAUCCAUUAUAGAAAAUUCAUCAUUAUGAUUUUAAUAUAAUUUAAUAUCAAAAUAAUGGUGUGCAUUUUUUCUAUAAAGGACAUUGUAAUCUAUUGACAUAAAUGAAAAUUUAUCAAAAGAUCAAUUGCGUAAGUUUAUUCAAAUUAUUUUGCUUGCAAUUUAACAUAAAAUAAAUGCUUUUGAUUUGAUAAAGUGUUGAUAGAUUUAUAACAUAUAGUGCUUGAAUAUUUUAUAUUCUAUAAUAGCAUAUUAAUUUAUAAUUUUUGUGUUUAUUAUAUGCACUUAUAUGAUUAACAAUGCGAAAGAUUCAGGAUACCUUCGGGACCCGUCUUGAAACACGGACCAAGGAGUCUAACAUAUUUGCAAGUUAUUGGGAAUAAAAACCUAAUAGCGAAAUUAACAUAACUUAUUAUUGGGAUUAGUUUUUAGUCUAUUUAUAGUCUAUUAAUUCAAUCCCGGGGCGUUCUAUAUAGUUAUGUAUAAUAAUAUUUAUAUUAUUUAUACCUCUAACUAGAGCGUACCUUGAGCAUAUAUGCUGUGACCCGAAAGAUGGUGAACUAUACUUGAUCAGGUUGAAGUCAGGGGAAACCCUGAUGGAAGACCGAAACAGUUCUGACGUGCAAAUCGAUUGUCAGAAUUGAGUAUAGGGGCGAAAGACCAAUCGAACCAUCUAGUAGCUGGUUCCCUCCGAAGUUUCCCUCAGGAUAGCUGGUGCAUUUAAAAAUGAUGUAAAAUAAUCUUAUCUGGUAAAGCGAAUGAUUAGAGGCCUUAGGGUCGAAACGAUCUUAACCUAUUCUCAAACUUUAAAUGGGUAAGAACCUCACCUUUCUUGGUAUGAAGGUAGUGGUUGUGAUAUAAUGUGCCCAGUGGGCCACUUUUGGUAAGCAGAACUGGCGCUGUGGGAUGAACCAAACGUAAUGUUACGGUGCCCAAAUUAACAACUCAUGCAGAUACCAUGAAA
rnacentral:rRNA from 1 species